AAAAAUCUCCUUUUACUGUCAUGGCACAUCAAAGUACAAAACGGAGUGUCAUACAGUACAACACAGAGAACAUGCCCUUAUCUGUUAAAGAGAGAUCAGCUAGGUACAGACAGAAAUUGAAGGAAAAUCCUGUUCUCAGGGAGGAAAAACUAGCAAAGAGAAAAGAAAGCUAUCAUAGAAGAAAACAAGCUCUCAAUGGCAGAAAUCCAGAUCACCCUUCAAUGAAAGAUGUUUCUGC